AUUGAACGCUGGCGGAAUGCUUUACACAUGCAAGUCGAACGGCAGCACGGGGGCAACCCUGGUGGCGAGUGGCGAACGGGUGAGUAAUACAUCGGAACGUGCCCAGUCGUGGGGGAUAACGUAGCGAAAGUUACGCUAAUACCGCAUACGAUCUACGGAUGAAAGCGGGGGACCGUAAGGCCUCGCGCGAUUGGAGCGGCCGAUGUCAGAUUAGGUAGUUGGUGAGGUAAAGGCUCACCAAGCCGACGAUCUGUAGCUGGUCUGAGAGGACGACCAGCCACACUGGGACUGAGACACGGCCCAGACUCCUACGGGAGGCAGCAGUGGGGAAUUUUGGACAAUGGGCGCAAGCCUGAUCCAGCCAUUCCGCGUGCAGGACGAAGGCCUUCGGGUUGUAAACUGCUUUUGUACGGAACGAAAAGGCUCUGGUUAAUACCUGGGGCUCAUGACGGUACCGUAGAGUAAGCACCGGCUAACUACGUGCCAGCAGCCGCAGUAA
rnacentral:rRNA from 1 species